AAAGUUAAAACCUUACCAGUCAGGCAUACUUUUCAAAAUGAUGUGAUUUUAAGAGGGGGGAGGGAAUCAACAGAAUAUCGGCAACCUAACCAUAGGUAUGCAGGCUCAAGCCACCCCAAAUUAAACACAGCUAGGCGCCAUUGAUUUCAGUAGUAGGUGGCAGUGGAGAUUCUCUGAUUUCUAAACAAGCAACGCUGUUCAACAUCUGCACUAGACUGUCCUGGAUAGAAAACUAAAGAAAAGAAUGCAAAGCACUCCCUCUUUUGGACACUAGAAAAAAUUGAUCUCAACUAUGAAGUGAUUGACAUUGUGAUCUACCAUCUGUUCCACAGAUAAUCCUCAAGACUUCAUAAGUGAAAGAGCUCAUGUAUAUUUUCUCUAUGAACUGGAGUAUUUAUAAUUUAUUGAGUCAUGCUGAAGUAAAAAUUCAAACAUGCUGAGAUAUGUCUGGUAAAAUAAGCUUGAAAAAGCAAAUAAUGAUAUAAAUUUGCCACUGUGUCAUAAAUAAUGUUAUGCUUAUCUUUCCAGAAGACGUAAACAUCUGUCUAUCCUGAUAAAAUUUAAUUUAUAUUUUACAGCCUCUCGUGUAAA